AGUGAACGCUGGCGGUAGGCCUAACACAUGCAAGUCGAACGGCAGCACAGUAAUAGCUUGCUCUUACGGGUGGCGAGUGGCGGACGGGUGAGGAAUACAUCGGAAUCUACUUUUUCGUGGGGGAGAACGUAGGGAAACUUACGCUAAUACCGCAUACGACCUACGGGUGAAAUCAUGGGAUCUUCGGACCUUGCGCGAUUGAAUGAGCCGAUGUCGGAUUAGCUAGUUGGCGGGGUAAAGGCCCACCAAGGCGACGAUCCGUAGCUGGUCUGAGAGGAUGAUCAGCCACACUGGAACUGAGACACGGUCCAGACUCCUACGGGAGGCAGCAGUGGGGAAUAUUGGACAAUGGGCGCAAGCCUGAUCCAGCCAUACCGCGUGGGUGAAGAAGGCCUUCGGGUUGUAAAGCCCUUUUGCUGGGAAAGAAAAGCAGCAGGUUAAUACCUCGCUGUUCUGACGGUACCCAAAGAAUAAGCACCGGCUAACUUCGUG
rnacentral:rRNA from 1 species